rnacentral:rRNA from 1 species
AUACGUAGGUGACAAGCGUUAUCCGGAUUUACUGGGCGUAAAGGGCGUGUAGGCGGUCUUGCAAGUCAGAAGUGAAAUUCCUGAGCUCAACUCGGGCGCUGCUUCUGAAACUGCAGGACUUGAGUGCUGGAGGGGAUAGCGGAAUUCCUAGUGGAGCGGUAAAAUGCGCAGAUAUUAGGAAGAACACCGGUGGCGAAGGCGGCAAUCUGGACAGUAACUGACGCUGAGGCGCGAAAGCGUGGGGAGCAAACAGGAUUAGAUACCCGGGUAGUCCACGCCGUAAACGAUGAAUACUAGGUGUAGGGGGUAUCGACUCCCUCUGUGCCGCAGUUAACACAAUAAGUAUUCCGCCUGGGGAGUACGGCCGCAAGGUUGAAACUCAAAGGAAUUGACGGGG